UUGAGAUGAUGUACAAACAUACUACACAUCAAAAUCCUCACAUUUUUGUUUAGCAAGCUUACAUGUAAUUUGUCUUUUUUUUAAACAAAAAGUGCCUAGUCAGGACACAAACUGCAUUACAGUUACGUGGAUUGUCAUGGUAGUUCAAUCGAAGGAUAAUAAUAGAGUUUUCACCCCACUACACACACAGGUUCAAAGAUGUGUCGUCCCUUAAAUGGAGUGAUGUUAACCAAGGUGGUGCCACUGACUUUUUGAACAUUCUAGGACUUAUGGAUAUAAUUCUUUCCCUUCCUGCUCAUUCUGCUGAUGCAGAAAGGGGGUUUUCUGACAAAAACUUGUUAAGAAUGAUUGGCGAUCAAAAUUGCGUCCAACUGUUUUGUCAGAUCUAUUAUUCAUAAUGAUUCACACUGAAGAUAUAGCAUCAUUUGAUCCGGUCCCGGCUAUUGAAAUGUGGAACAUUUCUGGACAGCGCUCCAGACGACCCAGUCAGGCACCCUAUGGUCGUCGUGAGGAUUGUGAUGACGUGGAAGACAAUGCUGACAUUUUUUCUGUCCUUGGUCCUGAUUUUGAUAAAGAAAAUUAUUGAGAUUAUCAAAGCCUUUAUCAAAAUCAGAAUCAACACUCUCUCUUUUUCUUGUCUAACAUAUGUAAAAGAAAGCAUGAAAAUAAAAGUAAACAUCUAUCAUUUA